rnacentral:lncRNA from 1 species
UUCCUGCAGGCUGUGGCUGAAGGUCUGCAGCUGUUGCCCGUUCGUGAGCCCUUUGCUGUGGAGAAACUUGGAGACGAAGGACAUGGAGGCGGCCAUCUCGCCUACCCUGGUGGUGGCUCUGGGGUAGAAGGGAUGCAAGGAGGCAGAGGUGGGGAAUGAUGGAGAGAUUGGAAGUGGCAUUCUUCUCCACAACACCAUGGGUUCUGUAGUCCCUUGUGCAAUUCUGCAAUUCUGCCAUGAUAGUUAUUGAGACCAAGACAGGCAAAGUCUAACCAGGGAAAGAAGAGUUCUGUAGACUUCCUUCCAAUUCUACCAAGGUUGAUAUUGAGAGCAGGCUUCUUGCCAGCAGCAUUAAACCCAACAAUCUAUACUUCCUAGGACAAUCUCUACCUUUGAUUUCUGUAAAAUAACACUUUUCUGUUUUUCUUCUGAGGCCCCUCCUCCACAGACCAGUUUCUGGAUAUCUUCUUCUUUAUCAGAUCUCUAAAUGUUGAGAUUCUUCUAGAUUUAGAUCUAUGCUGCUUGUUCUUUGCACUCUACAUUUUCUUCAUUCAUUUCUACAACUUUUAAUAGUGUGUAUAGGUAGCUCCCAGAUUGCUAUUUUCACCGUGAUUCUCUUGCCUCAUACUUUUCCCCUCUUUGGUGAUGAUGUGUCAGCACAUUGGCCCUCUCUCUAAUCUUGAAUACUUUAUUUCUGUCUGGGGAGUUUAGCACAUGCUUCCCUCUGCCUAUAAUGCUGUAUAACUUGCCCUCUCCCUUUUUGCAAGGAUAAAUUCCCAGCUUAAAUGCCAUAUCAUAAGAGAGGUCUUGACUGAAUGCACAAUCUAUGUUGGAUCUCCCUGGAUGUUCAGGGAAGAAAAGAAACAUUUUUUUCUUUCACAGCAUUUAUCAUCAUAUGGAAUUACCUUAUUUAAUUUAUUUGUUUAUAUACUUUGAUCUGUAUUCUUCCACAGGAAUGUAUAAUCCCCAAUGGCAGGAACAUGUGGUUUUUGUUAACCACAGAACAGUAUCUGAUACAAAAUAUGCAUUAAAAUUCUUGUGAACUGACUAAAUAAUAUCCAUCUCUCCACUUGAUUGCUUUACUUGCCACACAUCCCCAGUACCUAAUUCAAGAGCUUGGCUCAUUGUCAGCCUUUAAAUAUUGACUGAACCCAAUUAAUCACUUUUUUCUUUAACUUCUGAACUCUGUGCCCAGCUCCCUACUUGAAUAGCUUCACUGGAUAUCUCAAAAGAACCUCAAAUUCA